UGACCGACCGCACCCUCUGUAAAGAUAAACAGGUAGAAAUCAACUUGUCUUUGGUAAAAUGUAUUGGCGAUGAAAUUAAUAACGACGACGACGAUGAUUAUAAUGAUAAUGAGGUAAACUGCGUUGAUUGAAUGGAAGACGGGCUGAAAUGUGAAAAUUCAAUCGCCAGAAGAAAGUUUGAAACGAUUAUAUUAGCAUGGAACUUUCGUUUUUGUAAAUUCGUCGACGAAAUUGUGCGAUAACUGCGGUCGCCACGAGGGUGCAAGUUGAUUCAUACGGACCACUAAAAAUACCUCGGACGAUAUCGUCGCAACAUCAGACUUGUCCAGAGUUGUGAAUAACGUGCGAAGGUAUAAGCGGCGAAUAAGAGCAACGGUCGACCGGUCCGCUUCGACCCUUCCAGAAUAUCCGGCCCUCCGUCAUAAGACGGGAUCUAUUAUUCCAGGGACUUUCGUACGUAUAGUCGCGCGGCAAAAUGAGAUCGCAUAGCGGAUAUAAUAGGAUUCACCCCGUAAAAGUCAUUUGUAAAAUAGUCCUCCGCAUUAUUUGUUCUCAUUUUAGCAAUACGAGCACCCGGGGAAAGCCGCAAAGACGCAACGCGACGUACUAGGUAAUACCAUUACGUAAAGAAAUCUACAUACUUCAUUCCGCUAGAGACUACGUACUAACGUUCAUGGGACAACCGCAAUCCCGCGGAAAAGAAAUUUACCGAACCGCGUUAUUACUGAAAUCCAAAUAUGUAGUAUACGUAACGCGUGAUGUUGCUGUAGGAGCAUCGCGAUUCGAUUAUACGAAUACUCGUUGCGACGGCAGACGAUCUAAUUGCUACCGCAACACCCCGCACCAACACCCACGAUAAUUCCUCUACAGGAAUUAUUGCGCUGUAUGCUACCCGGUGUUUCCAGAUAGAGGAGAAUUCAGUGCCGGGGUGCGAGUCAGCCGUGUUGUGUACCGUAGCUACUCACGAUCACCUUGAACGCCCUUUGGCCGAUCCCCGUUUCGGUGGGCCAACGUUCACGGAUGUUAUACCUAGUCAGUUUUUAUUCGCUGUGUCCAACGUUGUGCAGCGAUCCGACGUACCGUGGGCCAUAAAAUAUGAUAUAAGGUCCGAAUCGAGCACCACGCGAUAGCAUCUUCGUAGGUAGCUACCACAAUUUUCACCUACCGGUCGAAGUAAAUGUUACCAGAGCCAUCCAUAAGCCUCGUAAACGUCGCCGAAACUCUAACGCCACGCCUAAGGCGUAUUUGAUUCGGUUUAUGUAAUUCCAAUAAUCCAAAUUGUGAAAAUCUGUAAAGGUCGCUCCGAUGAUUUGCUAAUUCCGAAACGAAACCGUGUCGGAGAUACGAUCACGCAACACCGCGGGAUGCGCCGUCGAUCGUCGUAGAGGAUAACGCGGUCGCGUAUAUCUCGCUUUUCAAAUCAUUCUCGCCGCCCUGCAGAAUGAUUCGACAUUUGCAAAUAUUUCGUAGAUGCCACGUGCGGGCUCUUCGGGAGAAAGUUCAUCUCCUUCUAAACACUCGCGAGAACGACAUAUUUCUGCGAAUAUUGGAUCGCAGGCGACACACGGGUAUGCGCAACGCAAUAAUAUGUAUGUCGAUUAAAAACGAGGUGGGUAAUCGAUGUUACGUGCGUCCAUUUAACUUAUGAGUAAAGUAAAAGUAGAGGCGUGACAGAGCGACUCGCUAAUUAUGCAACAUGUGUGAAGAGAAAGCAGAGAAGGAACGUCGUACAACGACCAGAGAAAUUGCCUUCGGCUCAAGCUCUUGAAACUCGGGCGCCCGCCCAUCCGAAAUUUUCAGAUAUUUUACGCCGACGAGAAAUCGUCCACCGCCCUCGUUCAAAUUUUCGGGUGAUUCGGUACUUUUGGUUUCGCGGCUGACGGGCGUUUCAAACGAGACGAAAGUGACGACCACUCGCCGUCGUUAAGAUUCCCCUCGUUUACGGUAAAGAUUACGGUAUUACAAAACGCGCGAGCGUUUCAAUACUUUUAUCGCUGUGGCGGUAAUUAAAGGUUUUACCUGUUUAUCGUAUAUUUUCGAAUGAGACGCCUUUAUUAUCGAUUACAAGAUUACCAACGGAUGUGGGUAUUAGCGUUUAAUAACGAUGGUGCAUCAACGCAGAAACUGUGUAUUUUCCACGCGAUUAGGUUCUAACAAGCGUAUAAUAUUCUUGUAUAACGAUACGCGUGAUUUUUCCAUCGUCGUACAAUUCCCUGCAGGUGGCAGGGGAUCGAACCAAGGUAGCGAUUGAAACCGAGUGUCUCACUUUCUUUUCCUCAAACUGACCAAGAGCCAAGUUCAUCCUCGCGUGAAAGUGCGCCCGAUAUCCCGUAUACGGUACGUGCAUAAGGUAUACCGGUGCACGUGAAUUGCAAAUCGUCCGAGUGUUUGACCCCGCUGAAAAAUGUAGCGUGCGUCGAGAAAUCCAGCGGCAAGAGCACCGAUUGUUCUUUCAAGGAAAAAUAAAUGUCAAGGACGCCGCGCACCGUGCAAAAUAGUCGCACUCGGGGACUUUGGAGAUGAAAGUAUAUCGACGACCGGCAGAGGUCACGGGGACGACGAAAGCGUUUUCACGCGUGUUUAUUCGUGCGACAGCAGUUCGUGCGACGAUGCGACGCGCCGCUCUUCGAUUUCAGACUUCGUACGUCGAAACGUACGGCACUCGUGACAUACGCGGUCUUCGCACACCCUUCCCUGCGAGAAAUCUGUACGAAACGAGUCCGCGGAGAACAAAGACGACGUCGUCCACCCGACAACGAGACGAAUUCCGCCGUUCGCGGAUGGCGGAAAAACCGGGUUCAGGGGGCCACCUCGCGAUGCGGUUUCUAAAAAGCGGUGACCUUGACAAUCACCUCGAUUGUCCGAGGAAUUCGGCCUUCCCGGUCGUCUGUAACGCAGCGCUCUCGUCGGAUCGUUCAUUUUUCUCUUCGUAUCCGCGGGGGGGAAAAUUGACGCGGGGUCGUAGAGAAACAUCGACGACUCGGACCGGUCUUCCUUUGGAACGGACCGACGUGUUAAACGAUAUGCCGCGGAGUCGGCUCGACAAGUUACGAUAGGCCGCCGGACGUAUUCACUCGGGUAAACGGGCUUUUCUAACUCGCUAUUCGGAAUGUUCGCGGCAAGGACAUCGGCGAGAAACACUCCCGUACAUCAGCUCUUGCACGCUGCAACGAAACUGAGGUCGGCCUUUGAAUCCACGGUGGCAUUUGCACGGUGAUAGUUGCAACGAUAUAGGGCGACGGUGGGCGAUUCUUACGAGUAGUUUACGUAUGACUGCGAGUCCUUGCAUUCCGCACUGCAACGGUACGCGUGAUACGGCGUUAUGCAUAUUCUUCCAUAUUCUUCCCGAACCCUCCGACUUCUUGCCCGGAAGGAGACUUGUAAUAUCGCGGUAUUCGAUUGUGGGGUAUUUUUAGUCAAGCGAUACGAGAUCAUCCGUGAUGAGAGUUGCAACGCAGGGAGAUGAAACGGAUCUACAAGCACGACGAACUUCGUCUUUGGAAGUGAAAUUAUACACAUAGUCGAUUAGUUAUUGUAACCGCUGAUCCGAGUACGCUCAAUGAUGCCAAUGCGAAUAAAACGUGACGAAGCUGAAUAGACAUUUCGCCCGAACUGAAUUCGUCGCGGUAAAAAUUGAAGGCGCGCGAGUACGCCAGAGGUGUUCGCCCGUGAAUUCGAAAUCGUGAAAAACAACGAGGAAUUUAUGGUUUGCCGUGAUAUUCCCUACUCUCUUUCGAAGCGACAACGCGACACGUCGGGAAACUGGUCUUCCAAGGUUAAUCGUAUUUGGCGUUCGGUUGCGCGCGGUUGUCGAAGAAAGACUGCAAUCAUCCCGGAUGAUAUUCGCUCGCGCUCGGGACUUCCAGACUCGUUGAUAAUUGUCAUUUUUUCGCGAACUCGUACGAAUGACCUACUCGUAUGAAGUCGAAUGUAAUCGAAUCGUUCUUUAUCAUUCCCAUGAAUCAUGGCCCGCGCCGGCGAUGGGAUUACCCCCUGUAGGUAUGCCAUCAAUGGACUCCGAGUCCGCAAGCGUAAUCGAAUCACGAGAGCUCCUCGAAUUGGAAGCGGUGUGACCACCGCAUCGGGAGCACUGGGUUCGGAACUUUUACUUUCGACAAGAAAUUUGCCGGCGGGGCCGGACACGAAGUGGCGUAGCGUAUACCCGCUUACACAGCGCGCACAAGCGAACGCGAAGCCUGACACACUCGGUCGUGUCUCGCUAAAAAAAAUUCCUUUCCAUUCAUUUUUGGCAAUGUUUACAAAUCAUGGACCAUCGUCCGGUAUGCGAAAGACCCGAUAAAGUGUAAAGCGGCGAACACCCGUUGCCAGUCUCGACGUGGGCUCGUUCGUCCGCUUGUCGAAUGGAAAUGCCGAUUGCGGGGGUGUAAUUAGCGCCCAGGUAUGCAAUGGCGUCAUUUACAGUGAUUAUGACGAGACACGUUCAACCGUAAGCCAAUAAUUUUUUCUCUCGGAUGUAGCGAUGAAUUUCGCCAAGAAACCCAGUCGGCCGACCGGAUAGUGGGCCCUCGGGAUAUGGAAGGUGAACGAUGAUGUACAUGCCGAGGUACGGAGCCGAAAUAGUGACCUUGAUCUACUUUCUGUACGAUAAUUUACAAGCGCUUGACUUUUCCGAAAGGGGAAUUACGAUCAAACGAUUUUUAUCAUUGCAACUUAUAUCGCAUCCCGAAGCGAUAUAAGAAAACGUACGUGGUACGAGGUUCACCGGAUCACCUCCGUUAUUAUUAGCUGUAUAGAAUGGUCGAAAUCGGUAAUAGCGAGCCGUCCAAUUCUCCUUAUCAUCUUAGAAAUUGGAUUGCUCGAGACGUAUUCGGCAUCGCGAUCGGAUCCCCGCAUUCAAAGAACUCGGCGUGCAACACUCGCUGCCGCGUGUGCGGCAUAGCUUUCUCAACAUCAGGUACUAAAAGCUGGGACAUUUCUCAGCUGUUUCUUAGGCCAGUCUCGGGAGCAAUGAUAUUCAACAGCGACCGGUAAAUGAAAUCUAGGUACACGGGAACUGUGAUUGCGACGAGGACAUGGGGGCUGGAAUCAAAACGCCUUGUUGCGCGUUGCAUAUGCUUCAUAUUUCCGGCCAAUUCGUGAUUACGGAUCGUUGGCCUGGGAUAUUCACCGCGAUCAUUCGCGGGUCGACGUUCAAAAGAUGUCGACGUUGGCCCGGAAGAAACUUCAAGGAGAAGUCCUUCGAGGGAAUCUCUUACUCGUCGCGAGCUCGGCCUCUCGCGAAUGCCGGCCGCGUUACAAGAGAUAUUAGAAUGGAAUGAUUCGUGCAACGGACUGGAAGGAAUGAAAAGAAAUAAAACUCACCCAAUCCAUGGUACCUUUACAAACUCUCGUCUCCGAAUAUCGCUGGAUCGCUCAACUUUCCCUGAAUGUACGUACGUACGUACCGCCCUGGACACGCGUUAUUGUGGUUGUUGCCCGACUCCGUCAGCUCUAUUCCCUGCAGAUAUUUGACUACAAGAAGUGGGGGGAAGGGGGGACCCCCGUAGCCGCCGCGACGAAGAGGUGA